CCAGCCCUGUAGCAGGUUGUACUGUGUUGUAGGGAGGUAAAACCUUUCCCUCCAGCCCUGUAGCAGGUUGUACUGUGUUGUAGGGAGGUAAACCUUUCCCUCCAGCCCUGUAGCAGGUUGUACUGUGUUGUAGGGAGGUAAACCUUUCCCUCCAGCCCUGUAGCAGGUUGUACUGUGUUGUAUGGAGGUAAACCUUUCCCUCCAGCCCUGUAGCAGGUUGUACUGUGUUGUAGGGAGGUAAACCUUUCCCUCCAGCCCUGUAGCAGGUUGUACUGUGUUGUAGGGAGGUAAAACC